AACAAAGCGAAGGAGCAGCCCAAACAGCAAGAGCCAAACACGGAAAGACGAGGUGAAGCAAAAGGCGAGUGAGGGGAAGGAGCCUACCUUCUGUCAGCCAAGUCUCCUGGAACUGGCUCAAGUCCUGGAAGAGCUCUGCGGGAAAAGGGAGAGGGACAAACGCUUAUAAAUCCGGGCUGAGCAGAGCGCUGGGCAGGAACGGCGGGGUGAGCCGCAAAGCUCCGCCACAUGGAACCGCCUGGCCCGGAGGCUGCUGCGGAAGGAGCCGGUGACCGCGGGGUCCCUGACCGGACCCCCCACUGCGACCCAAGCCCGGAGCCCCCCCAGCCCGGAGCCGCCGCUCACCUGCGGGAACGUGAACGGCACCUGCUGGUCCAGGGAUCUACAUGAAUCCUUCUGUUUUUAUAACGUUGACAUAGUAAAGAUGUUGUUGGUUGACAACCUGGUGGAUGCAGAAGCAGCCUGAGCGAAGUGAGGAUUCCUGGAAAAGCUGCCGGCUCUGUGUCAGGAAACGUUCCGGAGGAGCAGAAGGAUUUACAAUAAGUUUGGAAGAAACCUCCCUCUGCCAAUUGCUGCCAUCACCAAGGGACCCUUGGACCGUCGCUGUGAAGCUGUCUCUUCUGGAAGCAGUAAGCAGAAUGUUCUGGAAGCGCAGCCAGGAGUGAACGGGAUCUGCUCCCACCGGCGACCAGCACACGCACUGGCAGAGCAUUCCGGCAAGGCAAGGACACGGGUGCGCGCAACAGUGUUGAUCCGGGGUGAACGAGGACAGUCUGGUGAGGAAUAACGAGCCAACAGCUCCAUCUGGUGAGUGAUCUCGCAGCCACCUCGGCCUGCUGGAAUUACAUUUCAUAAAAUAGAGACAGCGAAACA